rnacentral:rRNA from 1 species
UUGGAGAGUUUGAUCCUGGCUCAGGAUGAACGCUGGCGGCGUGCCUAAUACAUGCAAGUCGAGCGAACAGAUAAGGAGCUUGCUCCUUUGACGUUAGCGGCGGACGGGUGAGUAACACGUGGAUAACCUACCUAUAAGACUGGGAUAACUUCGGGAAACCGGAGCUAAUACCGGAUAACAUAUUGAACCGCAUGGUUCAAUAGUGAAAGGCGGCUUUGCUGUCACUUAUAGAUGGAUCCGCGCCGUAUUAGCUAGUUGGUAAGGUAACGGCUUACCAAGGCAACGAUACGUAGCCGACCUGAGAGGGUGAUCGGCCACACUGGAACUGAGACACGGUCCAGACUCCUACGGGAGGCAGCAGUAGGGAAUCUUCCGCAAUGGGCGAAAGCCUGACGGAGCAACGCCGCGUGAGUGAUGAAGGUCUUCGGAUCGUAAAACUCUGUUAUCAGGGAAGAACAAAUGUGUAAGUAACUGUGCACAUCUUGACGGUACCUGAUCAGAAAGCCACGGCUAACUACGUGCCAGCAGCCGCGGUAAU